AUGGCCUCACGUGGUGAAGUGAAGCGUAGAAACAAGGAUAGUGAACUUGAUUGCAGAGCUCUUAAGCUGUCCACAUGUAAAAUCAAGAAGGUUGGGAUUGGAGGCCCUCUAAUUAAUUUUGGUGGGAAUCUCGUCGGCAUGAACUUCUAUGAUGGGCAUGAAGAAACUCCUUUCCUGCCAAGGAGUAAGGUUGUCGACGUUUUAAAGAAAAAGAUUGGUCUAGCACUAUCAUCGGAAAGAGGAUUGAACCAGCCUGAGGAAAUACAGGGAGGGUGGAAGGAAAAUAGGUGGCCCGUGCCCACGCCAUAUUGGUAUCAUGGUGUACUUGAGGUGGAUAGGUGGAUUUUACCGGACGUUCAUGGAAUGAAUCUCCAAUAG
rnacentral:rRNA from 1 species